GUAGUCUGUGAUGAUAAAUUUUUUAGUUGGCCUGAGUUCUUUUUGGUAUAUGAGGGCAACUCAAGUCACUACCUCUUCUGAGACAC